rnacentral:sRNA from 1 species
GGGGCCGCGACCCGCAUCGGGAUCGCACCCGCUCCCGCUCCCGCUCGCGGUCCCCUUUGUCGCCCAGGUCCCGCCGCGGCUCUGCGCGGGAGCGCAGAGAGGCCCCAGAGCGCCCGACCCUGGAGGACACAGAGCCGUCGGAUUCCGGGGACGAGAUGAUGGACCCGGCCAGCUUGGAGGCGGAGGCCGACCAAGGCCUGUGCCGCCAGAUCCGCCAUCAGUACCGGGCGCUCAUCAACUCCGUCCAACAUUUGGGCAAAGAGAAAGCAAAGCAGCUGCGCUCAGACCUGAGCUCCUUUGACAUGUUAAGAUAUGUUGAAACUCUACUCACACAUAUGGGUGUAAAUCCGCUAGAAGCUGAAGAACUCAUCCGUGAUGAAGAUAGUCCUGAUUUUGAAUUCAUAGUCUAUGACUCCUGGAAAAUAUCAGGCAAAACAGCA